AUUGAACGCUGGCGGCAGGCUUAACACACGCAAGUCGAGCGGGGGAAGGUAGCUUGCUACUGGACCUAGCGGCGGACGGGUGAGUAAUGCUUAGGAAUCUGCCUAUUAGUGGGGGACAACAUCUCGAAAGGGAUGCAAAUACCGCAUACGUCCUCUGGGAGACAGCAGGGGAUCUUCGGACCUUGCGCGAAUAGAUGAGCCUAAGUCGGAUUAGCUAGUUGGUGGGGUAAAGGCCUACCAAGGCGACGAUCUGUAGCGGGUGUGAGAGGCGGAUCCGCCACACUGGGACUGAGACACGGCCCAGACUCCUACGGGAGGCAGCAGAGGGGAAUAUUGGACAAUGGGGGGAACCCUGAUCCAGCCAUGCCGCGUGUGUGAAGAAGGCCUUAUGGUUGUAAAGCACUUUAAGCGAGGAGGAGGCUAAUCUAGUUAAUACCUAGGGAUAGUGGACGUUACUCGCAGAAUAAGCACCGGCUAACUCUGUGCCAGCCGCCGCGGUAA
rnacentral:rRNA from 1 species